AGUGAGCGCUGGCGGUAGGCCUGACACAUGCAAGUCGAACGGCAGCACAGUAAGAGCUUGCUCUUACGGGUGGCGAGUGGCGGACGGGUGAGGAAUACAUCGGAAUCUACUUUUUCGUGGGGGAUAACGUAGGGAAACUUACGCUAAUACCGCAUACGACCUACGGGUGAAAGCAGGGGAUCUUCGGACCUUGCGCGAUUGAAUGAGCCGAUGUCGGAUUAGCUAGUUGGCGGGGUAAAGGCCCACCAAGGCGACGAUCCGUAGCUGGUCUGAGAGGAUGAGGCGCCCCGCGGGAGCUGGGGCCGGGUCCAGACCCCCGCGGGGGGCCGGAGGGGGAAAUUUUGGAAAAGGGGCGAAAGCCUGAUCCACCCAUCCCGGGGGGGGAAAGAAGGCCUUGGGGUUGUAAACCCCUUUUGUGGGGAAAAAAAAGCAGCAGGUUAAUACCCCCCUGCUCGGACGGGCCCCAAAAAAUAAGCCCCGGCAACCUUCG
rnacentral:rRNA from 1 species